UACGUAGGGGGCAAGCGCUGUCCGGAAUCAUUGGGCGUAAAGCGCGUGUAGGCGGCUCGAUAAGUCUGCUGUGAAAGUCCAGGGCUCAACCCUGGAAUGCCGGUGGAAACUGUCGGGCUAGAGUCCGGAAGAGGCGAGUGGAAUUCCUGGUGUAGCGGUGAAAUGCGCAGAUAUCAGGAGGAACACCAAUGGCGAAGGCAGCUCGCUGGGACGGUACUGACGCUGAGACGCGAAAGCGUGGGGAGCAAACAGG
rnacentral:rRNA from 1 species